rnacentral:tRNA from 1 species
GGCUACCUGGCGCAAUGGUAGCGCGUCUGGCUUCGAUCGCGUGACGGCUUUGAACCGCCACAGGUCAUGUGACCAGAAGGCUGCAUGUUCGAGUCCUGCGGUGGUCA